UGGCGGCGAGUGGCGGACGGGUGAGUAUAACAUAGGAAUUUGCCUUUAAGUGGGGGACAACUUGAGGAAACUCAAGCUAAUACCGCAUAUUCCUUUCGAGGGAAAGCGUGGGAUCUUCGGACCACGCGCUUAAAGAGAAGCCUAUGCCGGAUUAGCUAGUUGGUGGGGUAAAAGCCUACCAAGGCGACGAUCCGUAGCUGGUCUGAGAGGAUGAUCAGCCACACUGGGACUGAGACACGGCCCAGACUCC
rnacentral:rRNA from 1 species